AAUUCUCCUUUAAGGUGGUCAGUCACGAAAGACCGGAACAUGUUCUUGCCAAGGAGACACACCAAAGGCGCUUCAUGAAGGAAGGUGUCCAGAGGGUUGUCGUGACAGACGGUAGAAUACGGGGAGCUCUUUUUAUUCCACCAGGGCCAGGACCCUUCCCUGGCAUUGUGGAUCUUUACACUCUAGGCGGUGGCCCAUCAGAACCGAGAGCCUUUGAAGAGGGAGUACGUUUCUUGCAGAAACACCCCAAAGCUCUGGAGUUGGAGUUAUUUCAAUCUCCAAGAGUGGAGAUCUCUCUCUCAAUGGCAUCAUUCCUGUCAAGUAUCAAAGCAGUUGUCACCAUUAAAUGAAUUAUCCGGAGUAAAAUGCACUUUACAUCAAUUUACGGAUGAUUGGGAGUA